rnacentral:rRNA from 7 species
AGCAACAAAUGCCCUGCUUCCAGGAAAAGCCUCUAAGCAUCAGGUAACAUCAAAUCGUACCCCAAACCGACACAGGUGGUCAGGUAGAGAAUACCAAGGCGCUUGAGAGAACUCGGGUGAAGGAACUAGGCAAAAUGGUGCCGUAACUUCGGGAGAAGGCACGCUGACACGUAGGUGAAGUGAUUUACUCAUGGAGCUGAAGUCAGUCGAAGAUACCAGCUGGCUGCAACUGUUUAUUAAAAACACAGCACUGUGCAAACACGAAAGUGGACGUAUACGGUGUGACGCCUGCCCGGUGCCGGAAGGUUAAUUGAUGGGGUCAGCGCAAGCGAAGCUCCUGAUCGAAGCCCCGGUAAACGGCGGCCGUAACUAUAACGGUCCUAAGGUAGCGAAAUUCCUUGUCGGGUAAGUUCCGACCUGCACGAAUGGCGUAAUGAUGGCCAGGCUGUCUCCACCCGAGACUCAGUGAAAUUGAACUCGCUGUGAAGAUGCAGUGUACCCGCGGCAAGACGGAAAGACCCCGUGAACCUUUACUAUAGCUUGACACUGAACAUUGAGCCUUGAUGUGUAGGAUAGGUGGGAGGCUUUGAAGUGUGGACGCCAGUCUGCAUGGAGCCGACCUUGAAAUACCACCCUUUAAUGUUUGAUGUUCUAACGUGGACCCGUUACCCGGGUUGCGGACAGUGUCUGGUGGGUAGUUUGACUGGGGCGGUCUCCUCCUAAAGAGUAACGGAGGAGCACGAAGGUUGGCUAAUCCUGGUCGGACAUCAGGAGGUUAGUGCAAUGGCAUAAGCCAGCUUGACUGCGAGCGUGACGGCGCGAGCAGGUGCGAAAGCAGGUCAUAGUGAUCCGGUGGUUCUGAAUGGAAGGGCCAUCGCUCAACGGAUAAAAGGUACUCCGGGGAUAACAGGCUGAUACCGCCCAAGAGUUCAUAUCGACGGCGGUGUUUGGCACCUCGAUGUCGGCUCAUCACAUCCUGGGGCUGAAGUAGGUCCCAAGGGUAUGGCUGUUCGCCAUUUAAAGUGGUACGCGAGCUGGGUUUAGAACGUCGUGAGACAGUUCGGUCCCUAUCUGCCGUGGGCGCUGGAGAACUGAGGGGGGCUGCUCCUAGUACGAGAGGACCGGAGUGGACGCAUCACUGGUGUUCGGGUUGUCAUGCCAAUGGCACUGCCCGGUAGCUAAAUGCGGAAGAGAUAAGUGCUGAAAGCAUCUAAGCACGAAACUUGCCCCGAGAUGAGUUCUCCCUGAGACUUAGAGUCUCCUGAAGGAACGUUGAAGACGACGACGUUGAUAGGCCGGGUGUGUAAGCGCAGCGAUGCGUUGAGCUAACCGGUACUAAUGAACCGUGAGGCUUAACCUUACAACGCCGAAG